UACGGGGGAGCAAGCGUUGUUCGGAUUUACUGGGCGUAAAGGGCGCGUAGGCGGCGUGACAAGUCACUUGUGAAAUCUCCGGGCUUAACUCGGAACGGUCAAGUGAUACUGUCGUGCUAGAGUACAGAAGGGGCAACUGGAAUUCUCGGUGUAGCGGUGAAAUGCGUAGAUAUCGAGAGGAACACCUGCGGCGAAGGCGGGUUGCUGGGCUGAUACUGACGCUGAGGCGCGAAAGCGUGGGGGAGCGAACAGG
rnacentral:rRNA from 1 species